rnacentral:lncRNA from 10 species
CCCAAAGUGCUGGGAUUACAGGCAUGAGCCACUGUGCCUGGCCAAUUAUUUCAGUCUUAAGAUCACUAGUGCCCAUAUAACAUAACUUAAUCCUGGAAAUAAACUCCAUCAUAUUGAAAGUCCUAGAGAUUAUUCAGUUCAUGUACCCUAGAGACGAAGGACAUUUUGUGGGUCAUUCGAGAAUUCAUCCUGCUGAAAGGACGUUUCAUAAUGAUAAAAUAAUCAGUUCAUCUAGACACAGCAAAACUGAAUGUAUUUGCACCUGAUAACAGAGCUUCAAGAUAUAUGAAGCAAAUAUUAAUGGAACUAAAAGAAUUAGAGAAAUUCACAAUUAUAGUUGGAGAUCUCAGCCUUUCUCAGGAAUUAAUAGAACACAUAGACAGAAGAGAAGUUAAGAUAUAAAAUACUUGAACAACACUAUUUACCAAAUUGACCUAAUUGACAUUUGUAGAGAAUAUUCCCAAUUACUUUAGAAUGCUCUUUAUUUUUUUCAAGUUCACAUGGUACAUUCACCACUACAAACUCUAUGUUGGGCCACAGAACAAGUUUCGAUAAAUGUAAAAGGAUGGAAAUCAUACAGAGUGUAUUCUCUGACCACAAAGACAUUAAAAUAGAACUCAUAAAGCUUGUUAUAGCAAUUCCACAUGGCAUAGAGACACUCCAAUUUUAUGCUUGGAUGUCAACAUGACAGUAAUUCUGUGGUAUGAUCAAAUAAAUAUGAAUUACUCACAUAGGAGUAGAAGUCCCAAAGUGAGUGGUGGAGAGGAUGGCUCUCUCUGGGACAAAGUCCAGAAUACAGACAGAGUGAAUAGCAAAUGUGCAAUGGUUUAUAAAAAGAAAGUCGUCCUGCUACCAUGAGAUUUAAAAGAGGUUCCACCUAGCAUGAAAUUUCAAAGAGGCAGCAAGAGGGCACAUGUGCUUAUGAGACCUGAGGGUGAGUGAGCUUUAUCAGGGUACUGCAGGAGGCAAUAAACACAGGCAGGAACUAAGACUUAAAGCUAUCUAGCACUGAAUCAAAUGCCAACGGGAGUUCAAGUUUCUUUUGUAUAAUCUUCACAACACCAUAUAAAAGGAAAUUAAACAAACAUAAAUAAUUUGGGAUCAAGGAUAAAAUCAUGAAGAGAAUGAAAACAUAUUUUGAAUUAAAUGACAAGGAAAAUACAAUACUGCAUAUGAAAAUUUCUGGGAUGCAGCCAAGGCAGUGCUCAUAGGGAAGCUUAUACCUCAUCCAAAGGAAAAAGAUCUGAAAUCAUUAACCUAAGCUUCCACCUUCAAAAACUGGAGAGAGAAGGGCAAAUAAGCUCAUAAUCCAUAAAAGUAAAGAAAUAACAAAGAGCAGAAAUUAACAAAGGAGAAAAGAGACAGAUAAUGAAAACAAUAAACAAAGUAAAAAGAUACUUCGUUGAAAGCAUCAAAAAACCCAACAAACCCUUAGCUAGAUUGAUCAAGGGAUAAAGAACACAUAUCGCUAAUAACAGGAGUGAAGAAGAGUUACCACCACAGAUCCCACAGACAUUAAAAGGAUAAUAAAAUGACAUUAUGAGGCCAGGCGUGGUGGCUCAUGCCUGUAAUCCCAGCACUUUGGGAGGCUGAGGCGGGUGGAUCACUUGAGGCCAGGAGUUCAAGACCAGCCUGGCCAACAUGGAGAAACCCCAUCUCUACUAAAAAUACAAAAAUUAGCCAGGUGUGGUGGCAUGUUCCUGUAAUCCAAGCUACUUGGGAGGCUGAGGUAGGAGAAUUGCUUGAACCCAGGAGGCAGAGGUUGUGGUGAACUGAGAUCACACCACUGCACUCCAGCCUGGUGACAGAGUAAGAUGCUGUCUCAAAAAAAAAAAAAAAAAGACAUUAUGAAUAAUUUUAUGCUGGUAAAUUUGAAAACCUAGAUGAAAUGGAGAAAGUCCUUGAAAAAUACAACUUAUAAUAACCGAUACCCCAAAAAAGCAAGUAUUCACAACAUGUAUCAGACAAACGACUUGUAUUCAGAAUAUAUGUGGAACUCUUAAACCUCAUGAAUUAAAAAAACAAACUGCCCAAUUAAAAAUAGACAAAGGGUUUGAAGAGAUCUUCACAAAAUAGGAUGCACAGCCAACAAACACACAAAAAGAUGUACAAUAUCAUAAGUCAUCAGAGAAAUGCAAACUGAAGCCACAAUAAUUUACUACUACACACCCACUAGAAUGACUACAAUUUUUAAAAGUGAGAAUACUGAGUGUUGGAGAAGGUGUUGAGAAACUGUGGCUCUCAUAUAUUGUGGAUGGGAAUAUAAAAUAGUACAGCCACUUUAGAAACAGUUUGGCAAUUUCUUACAAAGUUAAAUGUAUAUUUACCAUACAACCCAACAGUUCCAUUCCUAUUUACACUAGAGAAAUAAAAACAUAUGUCCACACAAAGGCUUGUACAUAUAUAUUCAUAGUAGGUUUAUUAAUAGCUAAAAUCUGAAGUCAGCCCAAUGGUCAAUUAACAGGUAAUAAAUACACAGAUUGUAGUAUGUCCACACUUAGCAAUAAAAAGUAACUAAGUACUAAUACCUACAACAACAUGGAUAAGUCUUAAAAACAGUAUGAUGAACCACAAUAACCAUACCAUAUGAUUUCAUAUAAAUGAAAUUCUAGAAAAUGCAAGUCUAAUCCACAGUGACAUAAGCAGACCAGUGGUAGCCUAGGACCAGGUUAAUGUAUAUUGCUUGGACCAGAGCAUAGGGGAACUUAUAAGGAUGACAGAAUUGAUUGUAGUUGUGGUUACACGGGUAUAUACAUUUAUCAACAUUCAUUGGAUGGUAUGCUUAAAAUGGGUACAAUUUAAGGGUGUAAAUUCUCAAUAAAGUCAAGUGUAAACAAUAUUCCUAUAAGAGAAACUCCGAACAGGAGAGAGGUUUCCCUGACUUCUAUUAAAUAUUCAAGGAAAAAAUAAUACCAAGCUUACACAAAUUGUUUCAGAAAACAGAGGUGGGAAAACAUUCAUUUUAUGAGACCAACAAUACAGUGAUACUGAAACCAAAAACAUUACAAGAAAAUAAAACUCCAGGCCAAUAUCCCUUAUGAACAUACAUACAUAAACAUAGACAAAAUAUUAAUAAAUUGAAUGCAACAAUAAAUAAAACUGACCAAGGGGGAUUAUCCCAAAAAUGGAAGAUUGGCUUAACAUUUUAAAGUCAGUGGAUGUAAUUCAAUACAUCAAUGAAAUAAGAGAGAAAAAAACAUAAAUGAGGCAAUUUUGUAGGUACUCUGAAAAUACCUUUUAAACAAGUCUCCCUCCAGGUGAAUCUAGUUCAAUACAGGCUUAUCAUGAGUAGCUUGACCCUACCUGCUGAUUUGCCCCACACCUAAUCACAGCUUUUUUUUGAAAGAGCUGUGCACUCAUCAACAAAUUUCCUGCCUAUCAUUGGCCUAUGCCUGCAUAAUUGCAUGUGAGGGUGAGAACAGGCAUUCAGAGGAAAACAUCGCCCUUGCUUCGUGACUACUUUGUUGAAACAUUCCUUUCAUAGAAAGGGUUUACAUUGCUAUGGUGAUCAUACUGGAUUCUGGGAUUUGUUGUGUUUUAUUUUCUCAGUGAGCAACAUCUACAUAUUUGCCCCACAUGUGGAGAAUGCUUGCCUGGUGUUCCUCUCCUCCAAAAACUUAAGGAAAGCUAGUGAAAUGUGUUUCCUGUCUUCAGCCUACCCAAAAGAAUCCAAAGAAGGCUCUUGAUCAUGCCAAACCUUGCAUUUAACAGUCACCCUGAAUCCUUAGAACCUCAUCUUCCUAAUCUCUAGGCGGCAAGACUUACCUGUUUGUCUCUCUCUAAUCACUCACCUAAAUCCUUGAAGUUGAUGAGUCUUUUUCCCCGAACCUCCAAAGCAGUUUCAGCCAAGAUGCAGACACCUGGAAGACUAUCACAGAGCAUCUUCUUCAACCAGAGAACUCAGUACCACAAAUUGCAAGCCAUAUCUUGGCCCAAGAAGCCCAGAAAGGGAUUGUCAUGUGGCUGCUCUUACCAAAGAUAAAUGGAAAAUAUCUGCAAGAGCCUGGAGAUCCACAGAAGCCUUGAAAACAAAGAGCCCACAAUUGCAGUAAAAAGCAGCAGCCCGGCAGCCACCAGAGAGGGCAGAGUCCCGCAACCUCCCACCACUUUGAAGGAGCUGGAGCUCCUUCAAAGCCUCAUUCAAAAGAAAUUGUCAUUAUUUUACCUAUCUGGUGUUUCCCGGGAACCCUACUUGCAAGGCUGGCUUUAUGUGAUUAAAGUUCAUCAGUGUAAAAAAACCUUUUCCCUAGUAUGUUUGUCAAAAACAAUUAAAGG